rnacentral:piRNA from 1 species
UUGGGCACUUCCCUGCAGUUCCUCCG